CAAUACAUAAACGGUAAAUCCACUCCUUGUUGUUACAAACAUACCCAUAUAUGCUUAUAACAACUAAGUGAUUUACGGUACAUUUUAUU